UGGGGAAUCUUAGACAAUGGGGGAAACCCUGAUCUAGCCAUGCCGCGUGAGCGAUGAAGGCCUUAGGGUUGUAAAGCUCUUUCGCUGGGGAAGAUAAUGACUGUACCCAGUAAAGAAGCCCCGGCUAACUCCGUGCCAGCAGCCGCGGUAAUACGGAGGGGGCUAGCGUUAUUCGGAAUUACUGGGCGUAAAGCGCACGUAGGCGGACCAGAAAGUUGGAGGUGAAAUCCCAGGGCUCAACCCUGGAACUGCCUUCAAAACCCCUGGUCUUGAGAUCGAGAGAGGUGAGUGGAAUUCCGAGUGUAGAGGUGAAAUUCGUAGAUAUUCGGAGGAACACCAGUGGCGAAGGCGGCUCACUGGCUCGAUACUGACGCUGAGGUGCGAAAGCGUGGGGAGCAAACA
rnacentral:rRNA from 1 species